AAAGGAGAAAAACCCGUCUAUUCAGAAGCCGUCCCAGGAUACUAGCGAAAAUCCGUCUGGGCAGGAUUCGGAAGGGACCAGAGAGGAAACGCGUCGAAUGGAACUCGGGGUACU
rnacentral:ribozyme from 1 species